rnacentral:rRNA from 1 species
AGAUUCAAGCUCGUACCUUUUGCAUCAUGAUUUAGCCAGUAACAUCCCAAGCAAAGAGCACUUUAGUUUGGACCCCCGAAACUAGGUGAGCUACUCCAAGACAGCCUAUUACAGGGCGCACCCGUCUCUGUGGCAAAAGAGUGGGAAGAUCUUCGAGUAGGGGUGACAGACCUACCGAACCUAGUUAUAGCUGGUUGCCUGAGAAUUGGAUAGAAGUUCAGCCUCCCGGUUUCUCCCCUCACCACUCGUCUUGACCCUCUUCUGAUCCCAUAAGAAGCCGAGAGAGUUAGUCAAAGGGGGUACAGCUCCUUUGACACAAGAUACAACUUUUACAGGAGGAUAAAGAUCAUAUUCAAGUAAGGGCUACAUGUUUUGGUGGGCCUAAAAGCAGCCACCCCCAAAGAAAGCGUUAAAGCUCAAAC